AAUGAACGUUGGCGGCAUGGAUUAGGCAUGCAAGUCGAGCGAGAAGUGUAGCAAUACACGGAAAGCGGCGGAAGGGAGAGUAAUACGUGGGAAUCUGCCCUUAGACCUGGGAUAGCAGCGGGAAACUGCUGGUAAUACCAGAUAAUGUCUAUGGACCAAAGGUGUGAUUCCGUCUAGGGAUGAGCCCACGUCCUAUUAGCUAGUUGGUAGGGUAAUGGCCUACCAAGGCGAUGAUGGGUAGCGGGUGUGAGAGCAUGACCCGCCUCACUGGGACUGAGACACUGCCCAGACACCUACGGGUGGCUGCAGUCGAGAAUCUUCGGCAAUGGGCGCAAGCCUGACCGAGCGAUGCCGCGUGCGGGAUGAAGGCCUUCGGGUUGUAAACCGCUGUCGAGGGGGAGCAACUUCCAUAGAGUUAUCUUUAUGGAUUGAGUGAUCCCUGGAGGAAGGACGGGCUAAGUUCGUGCCAGCAGCAGCCGCAGUAA
rnacentral:rRNA from 1 species